rnacentral:misc_RNA from 1 species
UUGAUUAUUUGUGUUUGACUCAGAUAAUUCGUUUAAAGAUAUAGUUUAGACCCUCGGCGGGCGCCGAAGCAGCCGCCGAAGCAACAUGGUAUGUUCACAGGGGUUUGGGAGUUGUAAACUCGGUAAUGAUCCCUCCGCUGGUUCACCAACGGAGA